UGGGGAAUCUUCCGCAAUGGGCGCAAGCCUGACGGAGCAACGCCGCGUGAGUGAAGAAGGUCUUCGGAUCGUAAAGCUCUGUUGAUGGGGACGAACGUGCCUAAUGCGAAUAGUAUUAGGUAAUGACGGUACCCAUCGAGGAAGCCACGGCUAACUACGUGCCAGCAGCCGCGGUAAUACGUAGGUGGCGAGCGUUGUCCGGAAUCAUUGGGCGUAAAGGGAGCGCAGGCGGGCAUGUAAGUCUUUCUUAAAAGUGCGGGGCUCAACCCCGUGAUGGGAAAGAAACUAUGUGUCUUGAGUACAGGAGAGGGAAGCGGAAUUCCCAGUGUAGCGGUGAAAUGCGUAGAUAUUGGGAGGAACACCAGUGGCGAAGGCGGCUUUCUGGACUGCAACUGACGCUGAGGCUCGAAAGCCAGGGGAGCGAACGGG
rnacentral:rRNA from 1 species